UACGAAGGGGGCUAGCGUUGCUCGGAAUUACUGGGCGUAAAGGGCGCGUAGGCGGGUCGUAAGUUAGAGGUGAAAGCCCAGGGCUCAACCCUGGAAUUGCCUUUAAUACUGUCGACCUUGAGUAUGGCAGAGGUGUGUGGAACUCCGAGUGUAGAGGUGAAAUUCGUAGAUAUUCGGAAGAACACCAGUGGCGAAGGCGACACACUGGGCCAUUACUGACGACUGAGGCGGCGAAAAGCGUGGGGAGCAACAGG
rnacentral:rRNA from 1 species